UUAAUGUUUUUCAGGAUGGGUUUUUUUUGCAAUGUGUGUUAUUGCUGGUUGUGCUUGAGGCGUUUGAUCUGAAGAGUGCUUUUGGAAGUCUGAAUCCAGUCAAAGUCCAAGAAGCAUCAAUCAUAUCCAGCUUCCAGAGUACCUGUUUCUUAAGUGCUUGGGAACACUUUGCAGAAAGCUUCUCAGUUUCAGAGUCUUGACUACAGCGUAUUUGCAAAAGAGCCUCUUGGGCUUCAGGAGAAGCAGGCGUUUCAGGGACCAGUGAAGCCUUUGGAUUGGAGGUUUCCCGCUGUUCCAGAAGUGCUGAGCAAGAUGGCGGUGGACUUUCAUUUAAGGCAACUUGUGACCCCUAGAUGUGUAGCUAUUCAGUGUAGUGACAACCAGAUUAAUGUGGAGGUAUAGCAGGACUUGUUUAGCAAUGGAAAACUGAUCCAGCCAUCUGGUUUGACUUUAGGAGGAUGCCCUGUUGUUGGUUUGGUCCCAGGCUCAAAGGUGCUUUUUGAGAAUAAACUGCAGGUCUGCGACCGUGUUGAUGAUGACCAAGGAUGAGCUUGUCUACACCUUUGCCCUUACCUACACCCCUGAGCUGUUUGCUGGCACUCGAUUAUCAGCGUUCAAUGCUAUUAUCAAAGGUCAGCGACCUCUGUGACUUGUGGCAUUCCUUGCGGUGGUGGAACUGGAAGCCCGUUUAAUUGGUUACUACACAAAUGGCAGGUUUCAAAACGUCAGCAGUAAUGCCUUGAAGCCUUGGGUCCCUUAUGCCUCAACUGUUCUGCCUGAAGCUCAUGAUGGGUUUGUGCAGUUUCUCUCAGCCUUCUGGAUGAGGCUGUGCCUAAGCUGUUCUUCUCUUGCAGAUGACUGGUCCUAUGAGGGGCCUUCAGACUCUUACUUCCUGGGUGAUGUUAUUAAUGUUGAGGCAUCUGUGAAGGUAUAAAACCACGUCCCUCUGUGUGUGGUUGUGGACUGCUGUGUGGCCACCCAAGUACCUGAUGUGACUGCCCUUCCAAGAUGCUUGUUCAUUGAUAAUCAUGGGUGUGUUCAUGUCACCAGAUGCUGCAGAGGUGGCUUGCUGCUGAUGGGAACCACCAGUUUGUGGUUUCUGUGACUCAACAGGUGUUCCUGAUGGUGGAACUGCUGCUGCUUUUUUGGAGGCCUUCAGUGGGAAGGGAAGGCCUCGCUCGGUCCUGUAGUGGUUCAAGAGCACAAAAAGACUUUAGCUGGUGUUCAAUAAAUGUGGGGAGAGAACUUG